rnacentral:rRNA from 1 species
UACGUAGGGUGCGAGCGUUAAUCGGAAUUACUGGGCGUAAAGCGUGCGCAGGCGGUUCGUUAUGUCCGUUGUGAAAGCCCCGGGCUCAACCUGGGGAUGGCAAUGGAAACUGGCGAGCUAGAGUGUGGCAGAGGGGGGUGGAAUUCCGCGUGUAGCAGUGAAAUGCGUAGAGAUGCGGAGGAACACCGAUGGCGAAGGCAGCCCCCCUGGGCCAAUACUGACGCUCAGGCACGAAAGCGUGGGGGAGCAAACAGG